rnacentral:misc_RNA from 1 species
GAUGAAGAACGCAGCGAAAUGCGAUAAGUAAUGUGAAUUGCAGAAUUCAGUGAAUCAUCGAAUCUUUGAACGCACAUUGCGCCCGCCAGCAUUCUGGCGGGCAUGCCUGUUCGAGCGUCAUUUCAACCCUCAAGCUCUGCUUGGUGUUGGGGCCCUACGGUUGACGUAGGCCCUUAAAGGUAGUGGCGGACCCUCUCGGAGCCUCCUUUGCGUAGUAACUAACGUCUCGCAUUGGGAUUCGGAGGGACUCUUGCCGUAAAACCCCCAAAUUUUCUAAUGGUUGACCUCGGAUCAGGUAGGAAUACCCGCUGAACUUAGGCAUAUCAAUAAGCGGAGGA